UGAGCCUCUUGAAUUUCCUCGCCUAUUGCAUCAUCAAUCUUUUCUGUUAUUUUGUUACUUGAGGUAUCUUCUGGAUCUAGGAUUUGCUCCACAGUGGAACUUCUUUCUGUGUCUUGACAUGGAGCAAAUGCCUUGAUAUCCUCAGCUGCUACUUGAAAGGAGUCAAUAGGAUCCUCAACCUCUGCUACUUCCUCAACCAACGUGCUUUCUGUGAUGUCAUCUUCUCGAUCAUCUGAUAAUGAUGUGCUUUCGCUAACCUUUACCAAAUGUUCUUCCUGUUCCAGUAGUAAUCCAUCUACUUGGUUUCGGGAAUCUUCUGUAGUGUCCUCAUCUGGAGUGGCUGCAAAGUUCUGCAUCCAAGUACAAAACAUUUGUUCAAUAUGUUUAUCUUGCAGAGAUAAAUUCUUGUUAACUUUUUUCCAGCAUAACAUAGCAAUUGAUUUUUCCAAAAUUUGUCCACUAAUUUUUUGAUAAUAAAGUCAGCUUACUACUAUGAUUCUCACCUUAUCCUCAAGAGUUUCUUUCUUGAGAUCAGUUGAAUCAAGUGUUUUUGUACAUUUUUCGUCAUAUAUGGUUUCAUGAGAAUCUGUAGUCGGGGCUUGCUCUUCUAAAUGGCUUGCUUCUCUAUCUUGACCUGAAGAAGUAUCUUUAAUAUCCUCAUCUGCUGCCUGCAAUGACUCAAUAUGUACUUCUUCCUUUACCGGAGCACAUUCUAUUUUUUCCUCAUCUUCAUGCAAGUUGGCUUUUACAGUGUUUUCAUAUGCAAAUUUGGCCUCAUGGGUAGUAGUUGGUUUAUCGUCGUUGAACUUUUCUGCUGGAACUUCUUCAGAAGAAGAUUCUUGUAAGCCAUCCACUUGAAUUGGUGACUUAUCCUCGCUGUCUUCAUUUGGAACGCUUAUUACGGCAUCCUGCAAUGAUAAUAACUUAAGAACGUGAUUGAGCUAAAAGAAGAAAUAUAUUAUUGAGUUCUCUUUUCAUUAAGAACACAUAGGUGUUAAUUAUCCUUGUUUGUCUUUAAACUACUUAACAACAAUUGAUAGUGCCCUUUCUACUUCUUCUUCAGGACUUACAUUGUUUUUGUUAGCAGCAUCAACUGUUUUUUUCUGUGUUUCAUCACAUGUCUCUUGUGGAUCAGCAGUUAGGAUUUGCACCUCAGUAGGCAUUUCCACUUUUUCUUCUUCUUUGACUGGACCACUUUCAGUGGACGACACCAUUGGAGCUUCCGAAGAAGGUAUGUUUUCACUCUCAUUCAUGUGCUCUUCUUUGUCCUCAUAUGGAGUAGUAUUAUUUGCAAUAUUCUGCUGCAAGUCCAGAUCAUUUGUUAAAUCUAUUCCAUAUAUGGAAUCAUAUUGGUAACAGCUUGUUUCUUGGGGAUGAUUGAAACAAGAGUAUGUUACUAUUGUAUCAAUUCUAUAAUGAUGAUAAAACAAGAACAUGAAAGAAAAUGCAAAUUAGUUUUUCUUUUGCCUAGUAGAAGAAAUAGAGAAGGCUUACGCUAAACUGCUGCUAACCAACCUAAAUAUGCUAAUGCAUAGAGUUAUGUUCGCAUCAAGGAAAUUUAGUAAUUCAUGCAAAACUAGGCGUGUCAUGAUCAAGAUAAUUAAUAAGUUUGAUUCUCACCUCCAAACCAGUUUCACUAUCAGCUAUCUUCUCUUUGUUAUCAUCUCUGAUUCCUUCAGGAUUUGCAAUGGGACUUUGCUCAUCUGGAGAACUUAUUUCUCUCUCUCGACUUAAAUGGGGUGUCUCAAUCUCCUGAGCUGCCUCUUGCAAUGACUCGGGGGAUGCUUCUUCUUCGAUCAAACUGCCUUGAGUGAUUUUUGUUGACUCCUCAAUGUUGGCAUUCCCAGCCGAAGCUUCGUUCAAUGGCUUUUGUGAGCCAACUUCUUCAAUCGGCAUGUCAUCUUCCUUGCCACCCAAAAUAUCUAUUCCAAUAUCCUGCUGCAAGAAUAAACAUCAUAAAAGUUCUUAUUCGCCAAAACUCUGGAGAAGGAUACAGUUCACCAUCUUCUUUUAGAGUGUGUUCUCUUUGGUUGAUAAAUUAAUCUUGGAGUGAAAAAGAAGGAAUAAGAAAUGGUGAAAUUCAUUUUUGUAGAAAAUGAAGAAAAAGAAAAGAGGCAUUUGAAGGGAGAAAUUUUUGUUAUCCCUUAUUUUCCCAUGAUAAAUUUAUCAAUCAAAGAGAACACACCCUAAGGGUCAAGUUCAGCCUUUUAUUGUUUACUUGCAUAUCAUAUAACCAACUAAAAUAUCAUAAUCCGUUGUUAUGUUUGCAUCAGGAGAAUUUAGUUUGAUUCUCACCUUAUCCGUGGGAGUUUGAUCCUCCUCCCCUGUUGCAUUAUCAGGUAUCUCCUCUUUGUUGUCAUGCAUGAUUGCUUCAGGAUUUGUAGCGGGGCUUUCCUCAUCAACAGAACUUGCUUCCCUGUCUCGACUUAAAGGAGGCGUUUCAAUAUCCUGAGCUGCUACUUGCAAUGACUUGAGGGGUUCCUCUUUAAUGGUCAAACAGCCUUCACUAACUUUUGGUGACUCCUUAUCAUUGGCACUCUCAGCUGAAGCUUCGAUCAAUGGAUUUUGUGAGCCAACUUCUUCAAUUGCCAUGCUAUCUUCCUUGUCACAAUCUGGAAUAUCUUUUGCGACAUCCUGUGGUAAAAAUAAAAAUCAUAAAAGUUGUAUCCACCAAAGAUCUGAAGAAGGAUGCUUUGACUCUUUUCGUUUGGGAUCAUGCCUAGCCAUUUAUUGUUUACUAGUGUGUCAAAUAAGUUAAUGUUGAUAAGUUAAGUCAUUAUUCACCUCUGUCUCAACACUUUCCUCAUUAGUUUGAGCCGCGUCAACAGAUUCUCUCUCUGCCUUGUCAGUUGAAAUUUCUUGUGGAUCUGUAUUUGAGGGUUCUUCCUCGAUGGAUUUGCUUAUGUCUGGACUUGAAUCAUGUUGUAUAAUAUCCUCAGGCUUCACUUGCAAGGAGUCAAUAUGUUUCUGUACAUCUGUUUCACACAUACUUUCUGCAUUCGCCCCAUUUUCCAAUUCAGGUGUUAUUGACUCUUCGCCCCUAUUUUUAGGUUCAUCGUUAUUUCCUGAUUCCCUGGCACCGGUUUCCUCUGGAGCUUCUAUCAAAGAGUUUUGAUUGUCUUCUUCCAAACGUUCCUCAUCUUCCUGUGGAACACGUUUUGCAAUAUCCUACAAUAUGAAUACAAAGAGAUUACGAAUUGUGUAAAGUUUGGAGAAUGAGUUUUUGUUUUUCAUAUUCUUUAAGCUUGCUAUUACUUUCAUCUACAUGAUAAAAUAAACUUCAAGUAGUAGAGUUCAACUGAAAUUACCUGAGCCUCUUGAGUUUCCUCGCCUAUUGCAUCAACAAUCUUUUCUGUUAUUUUGUUACUUGAGCUAUCUUCUGGAUGUAGGAUUUGCUCCACAGUGGAACUUCUUUCAGUGUCUUGACAUGGAGCAAAUGCCUUGAUAUCCUCAGCUGCUACUUGAGAGGAGUCAAUAGGAUCCUCAACCUCUGCUACUUCCUCAAGCAACGUGCUUUCUGUGAUGUCAUCUUUUGGAGCAUCUGAUAAUGAUGUGCUUUCACUAACCUCUACCGAAUGUUCAUCCUGUUCCAGUAGUAAGCCAUCUACUUGGUUUUGUGAAUCUUCUUUAGUGUCCUCAUCUGGAGUUGCUGCAAAGUUCUGCAUCCAAGUAUAAAACAUUUGUUCAAUAUGUUUAUCUUGCAGAUAUAAAUACUUGUUAACUUUUUUCCAGCAUAACAUAGCAAUUGAUUUUUCAAAAAUUUGUCCACUAAAUUUGUGAUAAUAAA
rnacentral:lncRNA from 1 species